CCUACGGGAGGCUGCAGUGGGGAAUAUUGCACAAUGGGGGAAACCCUGAUGCAGCGACGCCGCGUGAGUGAAGAAGUAGUUCGGUAUGUAAAGCUCUAUCAGCAGGGAAGAAAAUGACGGUACCUGAUGAAGAAGCCCCGGCUAACUACGUGCCAGCAGCCGCGGUAAUACGUAGGGGGCAAGCGUUCUCCGGAUUGACUGGGUGUCAAGGGAGCGUAGACGGCAGCACAAGUCUGGAGUGAAAUGCCGGGGCUUAACCCCGGAACUGCUUUGGAAACGGUGCAGCUAGAGUGCAGGUGUGGUCAGUGGCAUUCCUAGUGUAGCGGUGACCUGCGUCGCUCUUAGG
rnacentral:rRNA from 1 species